AAAACUAAUAAUUUAUAACCUGCUCUUAUUUCCUCCUUUCCUUUCUGCCGUGUCAUUUACAGAUCCUAAUUCUCAAGGAGGCGGUUCUCACCUAUCUCCGAUUCAUCUUAUAGGAUUGACAUACCAGUCCCUGAAGCAUUAGGGGUGCCAAAAUGUGCGGACAUGGUUGGACAGGUUGGGAUGGGUUAUUUAAAGAAACUGAAUGGGUUGUCUAAAGAAACUCUACAUAUACCGUCAUCAUUCUUUUACUCCACUUUACCGGAUUAAAGCACUAUCCAAAGGGAGCGUUGGUAAUGAUAUAUUUCGGAUCUGAACUAGACGCAAAAACAAUGGCGGACGGGUUUGAAUUCAUGAAUACCAUAUUCUCUUUUAUUUUUUUCUUGAAACAUAAUUAGUGAAUGCAAAACAUAUUUGUUUAUGUAAGAAAUAUGGGUUGAUGAAAUUAUAAGAUAUCUAUAUGCUAAAUGAAUAUAUCUUUAGCUA